GACCCGGGGCGGCGAGCGCUCUGGUGGCGCGCUCAGCCGCGGUCAAACUCGUAUCCCUCGAUGCUCUCGCUUCUCCCGAGCUCCGGUUGCAGAGUUAAAGUCUGUGUUAAUAAUAACGGAACUGAGGGGAAAGGAGCGGGCGGACACUCGCUAGAGGGGAGCGAGCAGCCCUGGGUCCAGCUCUGCAACGCCGCGUCCGACACCGACCCGUGCGCUCCACGGACGGAGAUGCUUCGGCCACCUCCCUGCCUGUCCGACCCCCGAGGGACCGCCUGAACCAGAAACGCUUUGAACAGCUCUUACAGACUCAUUCAAAUUGACUGUGGAGUUCAGAACAGCAGCAGAUACUUUGGGCAAAUUUGUACUUCUCAAAGGGGUCAAAAGGAACGUAAGCCAAGGAAGACACAUAAGGACGACAGAGUUCAAAGCCGGCUCUGUGCACUCACUGAUCUCGGGCCCGCGCCGCCCGCGGUCCCCCCAGCACGUGGCCUCGAAGUCCAGCACGAUCAGGAAGGCGAAGCGCUGCCCCGCGGCCGCCCGCGCCCCGCUCCGCGCCCGUGCGCUGCUCCGAGCCA